rnacentral:rRNA from 1 species
ACGUAGGGUGCGAGCGUUGUCCGGAAUUACUGGGCGUAAAGAGCUCGUAGGCGGUUUGUCGCGUCGUCUGUGAAAUUCUGCAACUCAAUUGUAGGCGUGCAGGCGAUACGGGCAGACUUGAGUACUACAGGGGAGACUGGAAUUCCUGGUGUAGCGGUGAAAUGCGCAGAUAUCAGGAGGAACACCGGUGGCGAAGGCGGGUCUCUGGGUAGUAACUGACGCUGAGGAGCGAAAGCGUGGGUAGCGAACAGGA